rnacentral:lncRNA from 1 species
UAUUAAUCUUAUGUUAUGAAAAUAGGGACCCACCCUUCCCCCCUUUGCCAAUGGUGAUAAACACUGCCUCUUUUCAGCCUCCCUGCCAACGCUUGAUAUGGUAUGACUUAUAUAACGUCCCAAAUCAAGUUUGGAUACACCCGAAGGAUUCAGCGGCCAAAUAGAACAUAAGGCAGUGUUGGUUAUAUAUUUAAACAAAGACAGGUUUCGGAAAAAUAACCACAGUUUAUUAAGCAUGCAUGUAAUUAUUUCAAUUAUACAAUAAUUGAACAUAAUGCUAAAUGAAUUAAGGCAAAUACAAAAUGUAAGUAAUGCAUGAAUACAAAAGAUAAAUGAUGUGUAAUAAAAACUGUGGUUCUCAAACAUCAAGACUAAACUACACAUGAAAAUACAAUGAAUACAAUAUACAUGGUAAACAGUACAAAAAAAAAUAAACCAAACAUGACAAUACAAACUUAAAAGACAGUUCAUGAACUGAUUUUCAUGACAUAUAUAUACAUGAAUGAGGGUCGGGAGGGUGGGAAAAAAAUCUUUAGCCUUAGUUUAAACAAGGUGUUCGCUGCUGCAAGUUAUAUUUUUGAAUGCUGAAACUGCCGAUGAUGCCAGACGAUGAUAAUUUACUUAAAUCUGAUUGGCUAAUUAAUGAGGCGGAAAAUAUGAAUACUAGCUCUUGAUUGGUUGAUAUGAAAUGCCAGACAUAUCAAGGGUACCUAUGCUGCAUCCUGAUUGGUCAAUAUGAAUAACGUUAUGAUAUAGAGGCGCAGGAGAUAUAAACAAUGUACCUAGUUACCAGAUAAGAUUGCAAUGCAAUCACUGCCCUGCGAUUUCAACCAUGUUUAAUAAUAUAUUUAAAUAAAAUAUUCACAUUAAUCUUAUGUUAUGAAAAUAGGGACCCACCCUUCCCCCCUUUGCCAAUGGUGAUAAACACUGCCUCUUUUCAGCCUCCCUGCUAACGCUUGAUAUGGUAUGACUUAUAUAACGUCCCAAAUCAAGUUUGGAUACACCCGAAGCAUUCAGCGGCCAAAUAGAACAUAAGGCAGUGUUGGUUAUAUAUUUAAACAAAGACAGGUUUGGGAAAACUAACCACAGUUU